GCUGCCUGCUGUAGAGUCCUCAGUCGGCUUUGGUAGAAGUUAGUGCAGUGUGUUCUGGAGACUGAAUAAAUCAGGACUUGUCACUGCUGCCUUGAGAGUGGAACCUGGUGAGAAGUAACAUCGUGGCCUGUGGACGAGCUUCCGCCUUAUUUGCAAAUGCCGUUUAAGCUCUUUUUCGGAAGUGCAAAUGCAUGUUUAUAUAAAUGUUUAUAGCUCUGACUUUUUCUUCUCUCUUCAAAUAUAUGUACUGUUUCACAGGUUUGUGACAACCAUUAAAUGAGACUUUAAGACUC